rnacentral:rRNA from 1 species
UACGGGAGGCAGCAGUAAGGAAUAUUGGUCAAUGGGCGCAAGCCUGAACCAGCCAUGCCGCGUGCAGGAAGACGGCCCUCCGGGUUGUAAACUGCUUUUAUACCGGAAUAAACCUCCUACGUGUAGGGAGCUGAAUGUACGGUAGGAAUAAGGAUCGGCUAACUCCGUGCCAGCAGCCGCGGUAAUACGGAGGAUCCGAGCGUUAUCCGGAUUUAUUGGGUUUAAAAGGGUGCGUAGGCGGCCUGUUAAGUCAGGGGUGAAAGACGGUGGCUCAACCAUCGCAGUGCCCCUUGAUACUGACGGGCUUGAAUUAACUAGAGGCAGGCGGAAUGUGACAAGUAGCGGUGAAAUGCAUAGAUAUGUCACAGAACACCGAUUGCGAAGGCAGCUUGCUAUGGUUAUAUUGACGCUGAGGCACGAAAGCUGGGGAUCAAACAGGAUUAGAUACC